AGUGAACGCUGGCGGUAGGCCUAACACAUGCAAGUCGAACGGCAGCACAGUAAGAGCUUGCUCUUACGGGUGGCGAGUGGCGGACGGGUGAGGAAUACAUCGGAAUCUACUUUUUCGUGGAGGAUAACGUAGGGAAACUUACGCUAAUACCGCAUACGACCUACGGGUGAAAGCAGUGGAUCUUCGGACCUUGCGCGAUUGAAUGAGCCGAUGUCGGAUUAGCUAGUUGGCGGGGUAAAGGCCCACCAAGGCGACGAUCCGUAGCUGGUCUGAGAGGAUGAUCAGCCACACUGGAACUGAGACACGGUCCAGACUCCUAAGGGAGGCAGCAGUGGGGAAUAUUGGACAAUGGGCGCAAGCCUGAUCCAGCCAUACCGCGUGGGUGAAGAAGGCCUUCGGGUUGUAAAGCCCUUUUGUUGGGAAAGAAAAGCAGCAGGUUAAUACCCCGCUGUUCUGACGGUACCCAAAGAAUAAGCACCGGCUAACUUCGUG
rnacentral:rRNA from 1 species